AACGAACGCUGGCGGCAGGCCUAAUACAUGCAAGUCGAACGCUCGUAGCAAUACGAGAGUGGCAGACGGGUGAGUAACACGUGGGAACCUUCCCUUUGGUUCGGAAUAGCCCAGGGAAACUUGGGGUAAUACCGGAUAAGCCCUUACGGGGAAAGAUUUAUCGCCGAAGGAUGGGCCCGCGUCGGAUUAGCUAGUUGGUGGGGUAACGGCCUACCAAGGCGACGAUCCGUAGCUGGUCUGAGAGGAUGAUCAGCCACACUGGGACUGAGACACGGCCCAGACUCCUACGGGAGGCAGCAGUAGGGAAUAUUGGACAAUGGGCGCAAGCCUGAUCCAGCCAUGCCGCGUGAGUGACGAAGGCCUUCGGGUUGUAAAGCUCUUUUGGCGGGGACGAUAAUGACGGUACCCGCAGAAUAAGCUCCGGCUAACUUCGUGCCAGCAGCCGCCGCAGUAA
rnacentral:rRNA from 1 species